AUCACAAACGCUUCUGGUCCACAGUUUUUUUUCCUCUUCAGAAACUACCCUAAACAAGGAAGUUUGUGUUCCAAGGUAAGAGAACCUGAAGUGAAAAACUCAGGAUCCUUCACGAACAGCCUGACCCUGCUUUCAACCAGGAAGUUCAAGGGAGGCAGGACUUUACGGUCAAAACUGCAAAGCCGAAGCUCAAGACUGUAAGAAGAAAGUGGUCUUCAAAGAAAAGGAUUCACCCAAAUCGAAGAGGAUAUCGUUUCGCAUCAGGGACACUCGUCUCCACACCUCCUACCUCAAAGUCCUGCGCACCUACCCUUCAUGUCUCUCCAAAGCAACUGAAUUAAAGCGCCUACUGGCCUUGGCGGCGCAGGUCCCAAGAUUUUGACUGGUUGGUUGUACGACUAGAGUUGCUGGAGUUCAAGUAUUUUCAUUUUAACUAUUCAACUGAAAGCAGUGCGUUACAAUAGAACAUGGGUUCCAAAAAAUUUACUGAGAAGAAGCAAAGUAAUACUUGGGAGAACUGAUAAUACACAGACUUCUCAUGAAAAUCAACCAACAUAUAGAAGAAUAUAUAGAAUAAAGCAAAAAUCAUCAGAAACUCCACAGUCUUGGAUGACCAUAGUUGAUAUUCUGAAUGGCUUCUGUUCCGAUUGAACCUUGACUGAUGUAGCACCUAUCACCAAAUUGCUGUUCAGGAAAUAUGUCCUAAAGAAACUCCCAACAACAGCAAUACAUCAGAGUGGCACCUCUUUACACUGGUUCUUGAAGAUGUCAGAAUGGGAUUUGCAGUAGACUCCCAGCAGCCCCCAGGAGCACCAAGUGAGAUGCCUGCCAGGCCCACUGUGUCCACUGCCCUCUGGUAGCACCUGAGGAUCACGGAAAUUAAAUCCUGGUAGAUAAAGGGGAAGACAUAAGGAAGACAAGACAAGGGACUGAGGAAAUGUUGGGGAAGAUGAGAACACCUCAGAAACCACAAUUGAAGAAUUCCUAGGACCCCCAGGUAAAGCUGUUUGGGUGUGAUACAUCCUUGGGCAUAUUGUUGACUGACUUUUAGGCUUGAGGGAAGAUACUCUUUGUUUUAAACAAGGUGGAUGGAAAUGAAGGUGGAGAGAAACACCAUGAGAAAGAUUUUAAUGCAAAGCCAAUCCAAGCACCAUCUCUUAGAGCCUUAUUUCUUUUCAGCAGCUCUCUGGAUUGUUCUAAGAAGUGAUGGGUAAUUUUAUAAAAGUCUUAAGCUGUUGUUAAGAGAUCUUUUUAAAGCUGAAGGCAAAACAAACAAACAUGAUGUCCUACAAAGCUGAGAAUAAGCUCCAGAGAGAGGGAAGGCAGCAGAAAUAGUUACUGGGAUGGGGAAAGAGAUCGCAGUGUACCUUGUCUCAAGCCCUAUGAACGCUGUCGCCUCACCCUCUUGCAAAGUCCCGUGGGCAGCCUGAGCUUGGCUGAGAGGGGAGGCAACAGAGACACCAGGAUGGGAGAGCUCGGAGCUAUUUCGGACUCCAGGCCAACAUCCACGGAGACCUUGAGUUACGUCAUCGGAACUGUCUGGACUUUGGUCCCCUUAUGCCAAAUGCGGUUUCCAGAAAAAGGAUCCGCAGCGUAUUUGGAAGCUCAUCAACUAAAAGUUGUCUCGUCACUUUCAUGCGUGAGAUCUUUUCAUUUGUGAAGAGCAUAUUAUUUUGCUUAAUUAUGGGCUGCGAGGAGGUGGCAUAGAGCAGUGGAAAAAGCCUGGGCUCUGGAGUCAGAGAGACCUAGGUCUGAAUCAUGGCUCUGCCAUCCACCAGCUACGGGACACUGGCCUGGUGGGCCUGUUUCCUUGUCCAUAAACUGAGAGUAAUCUUGCAAUAAUUAACUAUCUUGGAGGGAGGUUGUUAGGAUAAGACGAUAAAUGCAUGUCAAGAAUCUUGUUCUGCUGUUCAGAUAUUUAAUCAUCAGUCGCUGUUAUUAAUAAAGUAUCUGACUGUUCAGUAACAUUUAGCAUAUGAGAUUUCUCGUUCACUGUAACAGUAUGGCUAUAGUGAUAUACAUAAUCUCCUUUUGCUUGUGAAUACUGCUAAAAUUAAAUUCCCAUUUCUCAAAGACGUUUUCUUAUAUGGAGUCUUACCGAUGAUGAUUUUCAGCACCAUGACAAUUUGUUGUUUUUAAAUCCUUAUAGUUUAUUUUGUAAUCAUCUAUGCCAUAACUAAUUACACUCUUUUUUUCAAGGAAAGGGGCACAUCCAGAAAGGAGAUAAGAUCAGAAGCCUUUAUUUCCACUAUUCAGCCACUCACUGCCUGAGACUUAACUUCAUUUCAAGUAAGGGGAUAAUAUUUGGCCCCUAAGUAUCUUACAAGGGUUUUGUUUUCCCUAAGAGAAAAAAAAGUAGGUAAGAUCAUAAGUAAGAAAGGAUUUUUUGAAUUAAAAAUAUAUGCAAAUG